rnacentral:siRNA from 1 species
ACUAAAAUCUCUAAACCAAUGCCA